rnacentral:rRNA from 1 species
AACGUAGGAGACAAACGUUAUCCGGAGUUACUGGGCGUAAAGGGCGUGUAGGUGGUUUCGUAAGUCUGGCGUGAAAUUUUUCGGCUUAACCGGGAAAGGUCAUCGGAUACUGCGGGACUAGAGGACGGUAGAGGCGUGUGGAAUUCCGGGUGUAGUGGUGAAAUGCGUAGAGAUCCGGAGGAACACCAGUGGCGAAGGCGACACGCUGGGCCGUACCUGACACUGAUGCGCGACAGCAUGGGGAGCAAACAGG